rnacentral:rRNA from 1 species
GAUGAACGCUGGCGGCGUGCUUAACACAUGCAAGUCGAACGAGAAGUGAAGACGGAAACCUUCGGGCGGAAGGCUUUAUUUCGAGUGGCGGACGGGUGAGUAACGCGUGGGUAACCUGCCUCAUACAGGGGGAUAACAGUUGGAACCGACUGUUAAUACCGCAUAAGACCACAGCACCGCAUGGUGCGGGGGUAAAAACUCCGGUGGGAUGAGAUGGACCCGCGUUCGAUUAGCCAGUUGGCGGGGUAACGGCCCACCAACGCGACGAUCGAUAGCCGAUCUGAGAGGAUGACCGGCCACAUUGGGACUGAGACACGGCCCAAACUCCUACGGGAGGCAGCAGUGGGGAAUAUUGCACAAUGGGGGAAACCCUGAUGCAGCGACGCCGCGUGAGUGAAGAAGUAUUUCGGUAUGUAAAGCUCUAUCAGCAGGGAAGAAAAUGACGGUACCUGAGUAAGAAGCCCCGGCUAACUACGUG